rnacentral:rRNA from 1 species
AACGUAGGGGGCCAGCGUUGCUCGGAAUUACUGGGCGUAAAGGGUCUGUAGGCGGUGCGGCAAGUCGGAAGUGAAAUCGCAGGGCUCAACUCUGCGGCUGCUCCCGAAACUGCCGUGCUCGAGUGUGAGAUAGGCGAGUGGAAUUGCAGGUGUAGCGGUGAAAUGCGUAGAUAUCUGCAGGAACAUCCGAGGCGAAAGCGGCUCGCUGGAUCACAACUGACGCUGAGAGACGAAAGCUAGGGGAGCAAACAGG